GCGAGUAUGCCGAAAUUGGUAGCCGGGUAAAUCUUAGGAAUUUAUGGUUUUAGAAUCGUAAGAGUUCAAGUCUCUUUACUCGUA
rnacentral:tRNA from 3 species